UUUUUUUUUUUUUUUUUUUUGUGGUCAAUGCUAAUACCUGUUGAUUAAGUGACGAUAGAUGUAUAUGAAACUUGGAAAAAGAGAAACCUUUCAGAUUACUAGAAAGAAAGAAAAGAAAGAACUUAGGAACCCCAAGUUCAAGACAAGUCAUGCUGGUAUUAGUAAUGAAAACCAUGCAUAGUUAAGUUUCAUGGUUAAUGUUCGCAGUCAAGAAAAUUUGAUUAAUCAAGAAUUUUGCUAACUUUUACUUCGGUUUUCAUCACAGGUACUAGUACCUUUUAAUUAAUACCAAGUAGAUUUUACACAUAUUUUUGAAAAAUAAAUGCCAUAUAAUAUAUUAUUAGAGUCAAUGGGGCAGGGGAAAAUCCGGGUUUAAAGAAAAAAUAAAAUAAAAUGAAAGCAACGGUGAAAUGCGUUAGUGCUUAUCCGCGGUCUGGGUGGAUCGAGCUCAUAACAUGAUUUUAAUGAUCAGGCUACGGGCCUUUCCAAAAUAAAGCAGACUAGUCUUGCAUCGGUGUGAAGCUCCCAAAACCACCACCACGCAGGCAACAACCAUCCAGUUCCAUGGAACACUCGACUAAGAGAGCUUUCCAAACAAGGCCACUACCAACAAAGCCUCACUGUCUAUCGCAAAAUGCUCCGUUCCGGGGCGCCCCAAAUGCUUUCACCUUCCCCUUCACACUCAAGUCCUGCGCCGCACUUCGAUUCCCAUCACCGGCACACAACUUCACUCUCACGUCACCAAGACCGGGUGCUUGUGUGAACCCUUUGUCCUACACGCGCAUUGAUUUCUAUGUAGCGCAAAAUGCCUUCUAAGUGAAGACGCUUAUAAGGUGUUCGACGAAAAUCCACUGUGUAAGAAGCUGACUGUCUGUUACAAUGCUUUGAUUGCUGGGUACGUUCAGAAUUCAAAUCUUUUAAAUGGGGUCUCGUUGUUUCGCGAGAUGAGGCGAAUGGGUGUCUCAGUUAAUGCAGUCACAAUGGUAGGAUUGGCCUCAGGGUGCACCAAUCCGCUGCAUAUGAGUUUGGGAAUGUCUCUACAUUGUUUGAGUUUGAAGAGCGGUUUUGGCAAUGACUUGGCUGCUGAGAAUUGUUUACUUUCAAUGUACGUCAAAUGUGAGUCAAUACAACUUGCUAGAAAGCUGUUUGAUGACAUUCCUGGAAGGGUUUGAUCACUUGGAAUGCAAUGAUAUCUGGAUAUGCACAAAAUGGGCUUGGUACCCAUGCUUUGGAUCUUUAUUAUGAGAUGGAAUCAUCAGGUAUAAGCCCCAAUGCUGUCACGUUUGUUGGGGUUUUAUCAUCUUGUGCUAACCUUGGCGCUCGGAGAAUUGGUCAGGAAGUUGAGCAAAAGAUAUGGAACUUGGGACUUGGAUUUAAUCUUUUUUUGAAGAAUGCACUGAUUAACAUGCAUGCUAGAUGUGGUAAUUUAGUCAGAGCUCGUGCCAUUUUUGAUGAAAUGCAUGAGAAAAGUUUAGUAUCUUGGACAGCUAUUAUUGGUGGUUAUGGCAUGCAUGGGCUGGGAGAUAUUGCCGUGGAGCUUUUUGAUGAGAUGAUUAGGACUGGCAUUCUGCCGAUGGACCAGUGUUUGUGACUGUGUUGUCUGCCUGUAGUCAUGCCGGAUUGACCAACAAGGGCCUGGGUUAUUUUGCUGCAAUGCAGAGGGAUUAUGGUGUCAAGCCUAGUAUAGAGCAUUACGCUUGUGUCGUGGAUCUUUUAGGUCGGGCAGGUCGACUCGAGGAUGCUCGUAAACUUAUUGACUCAAUGCCUGUGGAACCCGAUGGAGCUGUAUGGGGUGCCCUUCUUGGCGCUUGCAAGAUUCAUAAGAAUGUCGACUUAGCAGAAUUAGCUUUCCAUGAAGUUGUCAAACUUGAACCAACGAACAUUGGUUAUUAUGUGCUACUGUCUAACAUGUACACUGAGGCUGAGAAUCUUUCUGGUGUCUUGAGAAUCCGAUUGAUGAUGAGAGAACGGAAGCUUAAAAAAGAUCCGGGCUGUAGCUAUAUUGAGUUCAAAGGGAAGAUUCACCUCUUUGUGGCUGGGGAUAGAAGUCAUUCUCAGUCAGAUGAAAUACAUUCAAUGUUGAGCAAGUUACAAGAUCUUAUUAAGGAACUUGAUGUGACAAAAAAUAUAAUGAUGAGAAAUCGGAUAGGGAACUUUCAAGUGGUGUGGGAGUGCACAGUGAAAGGUUGGCAAUUGCAUUUGCAUUACUGAAUACUGAAAUCGGGGUUGACAUUCUUGUGAUAAAAAACUUGAGGAUGUGUGGUGACUGUCACUUGUUCAUUAAGAUGGUAAGCAAAUUGUGGACCGUCAGUUUGUGGUAAGGGAUGCUACUCGUUUCCAUCAUUUUAGAGGUGGAGCUUGUUCCUGUAAUGACUACUGGUAAGACCAGAAAUCGGAGUAAGAUGGCUUAUCAGAGGAGGACAUGAUUUCAUCACACCUAAAGGAAAAAGAGAAUUUUGCCUUGAGGUCAAAGAGAUUGAGCCUUAAGGUAAAAAAGAAUGAGCCCUCGGAUUGGCCUUGCUACUUUGAAGCACAAUGUGGCUGCAGAAGUUAUUUUCUGAAGAACUACGUUGAUGAAUUAGUUUAAGGAACAAGUUAUUUUGUGACUGCGAUUUUACGUGUUUUUGGAGCAUCCACCAAUGGCUGAUGUGGCAGUUGUUGAAGGUUUAUCAGGAGAUUUGGAUAAAUGCACAAUCGAAUAUGAUGCUUCUGCAUAGGGUGAUUGAUUGCAAAAAGUUUUAUUGGUAUGCCAUGUUGUAUCUGUGAUUCAUUAAAGGUACAUCAGGUUUCAAUGGUUGUACAUUGCAUAGUGCAGGAUUUUAUGUCAACCACAACAGAAGAACCACCUUUCUGGAGUUGAGAACAGGUUAACCACAGAAUGGAUACAAACAAGCUUGUUAGGUUUACGGUGUUGUUUUGCAACUUAAACUGAUGUGGAAAAUGAGGUUCUUUUACAGGGAAAUUCCAAAUAAAGAUGUUUACACCAUCAUGGUGAAGGCAAAAGAACUCAGAAUUUCUGAACCAUAAUAGAUUCCAUGAACAAUACAAUCACAAUAGACACAGAAAGAAGCUAAAGCAUUGCUAACCUUAAUUGCCUACAAGUCAAGAUUAUCUCCGUGGUUAGGAAAGAAUAUAGAUUGAUGGCUUUAAGCAUCACUGUUCCCAUCUUUUGAUGAAACUGGAAGUCCCUGGUAAAGGCGGGACUGGACUAAGUGUUGAUCCUUUCUAUCCAAAAAUUAAAUUGCUGUCACACAAUGUGGUGCAUAACAUCCACUCUGUCAAAUUACCACCAAAAUGAUAUCUCGCAUCAUCAAAAUGAGAAUCUCAACUUAGCCACUAAUAAUCACAACUGCUGCUGUUCCUGAAACGCAUUCAUCGUGAACGAAGGGAAUUGUCUUCCAUACUGUCAGUUUCGUAGGAGUAAUCUGUAUGCCUAAAAGGUGAAUUACACUUAAAUGGAUCAAUUCACUUUGCAUUUAUAACGAAUCAAAACUGUAGGAAGACAUUCGCACCUUGAAUGGAAGAAUCCUUUUUGGUACAAAUGGCAGCAUAAUGAGAACCAGCCAAAUCCAUAAGUACAAACUUCCAAUCACUUGUAAGGUCCAUGGAGUCAUCAAAAGAAUCCACCACUAUUUCAGAAGCCUAGAAGCAAAAUGUAAUUAGUGAAUGAAGCAAUACAUCUGACAAUGAGAGGACAUAUACAGUAAUUAGCUCAACAUAAUUCGUAACAAAUAAGUCCUAAAUCCUAGCUACAACCAGAGGCAUAGGAAAGUAGUUUUUAGUUGAGGUAUCAAGGAAUGGAGAACCUGAGGUACUCACAAUUAAGUUGCAGAUGUGUAUGAUAAAAGAUAAAAAUCAGGGAAUCACAUCUAGUUGAGCAUCUUCAGCUUUUCACCAGCCUCCCCUCAAAAUUCAUCCUUCUGUUAUUUAUUUUUUUUUCAGAAAAUGGAGCACAAACUGUCUAUUUUUUGUUUCUUAGAUUCAGAAGUAAACUUGAACCUCAAUAUUUCCUUCUUACCAAGUCAAAUGGUGGUGAUUAGCUUAAGUACCAUGCAAAAUAUUUACAGUGGUUCAAUCAACAGAAGGGAAGUGGUUUAAUGACUGGUUGAUGGAGUUGUGCAUGCCAUUGGCAUCAGAUGAGGGAGUUCCACAAUUUUUUUUAUUUAAUAUCAAUAAUGUCGUCAUGCAUGUGCAUAUUUCAGCUCAGCUCCUGUGGAAAUUAGAACGAGAGAAAAGUAAUGAUUUAACUCAUGGUACUAAAAAUGUGUGUUCCAGCCAUAGUUUGAUCUCUGUUCUCAAAGGCAAGACUUAUUAUCAGGCCAUGGUUACACAGACAGCAACUGGUUGGAUAACUUUAAUUGCAAAAUGUCACCAUCUGAAAAAGCAGUCUAAGGCUCUGGCUCUCCAUAAAAAAGUCCAAACGAUUUCAAUAUUUCUGGCAUACCUCAAAAUUGGAAUUUCCUGCAAAGCUUCCUUUAUUAGCAGACCUAAUUCGAAUUGUGAAAGUCUUGAAUGGUGCAUCUGAAAAGCCUCGUCCCAAUGCUUUGACAUAUGCUUCCUGGAAAAUAUUUGACCUUCAGAAAUAAGUAGGCACAAGCUUAUUUGAAUUUAUUUAAGCAACUGGGAAAAAAAGUACUUAUGUGCCCCAUAAAUCUCCAACUUCAAUCAAGUAGCAGCAGGUGGGAUAUGAAUCAUUAAUAUUCAAAAGUUCAAAACUAUCUGACCUUGAGAGUCCACAAUUUUAUAAACUCCUGCUGCUGAAGUUGGGGUCUGAAAAUAGCGGACAACACUUGAACUUCAUGUUUUGAAAAAUAUCGUGAGCAAAGGACAUGACAUUAUGCUUCAGUCUUCGAUUCUUCUUUUCCACAUCAAUACCAAUCUGAAGUGGCAAGUGAAUUCAAAUGAACUUAAACCAAAAACAACAGCAAAAGGAUGCAAAAUUUUAAAAACUCAGACAAGCACAAUCUAUUAAUUGAGACCGAGAAUCCUAACAGGAGAGUCGACUGUGACUCCGCAGGCUAUCAAAGACGAAGUGUGUGAGAUGUUGAAAUGCAGUGGCAGUGGACGCCAUUGUUCGCAGUGUUGCCAAUCCACCUAACAACAUAACAUUUUCCAGAAAGCUUUUAAUGGCAAUUCGACUUUAACAACAACACAUACACUGAAACUAGCACAGUGUACACUCACACAGAGAAGGAAUCAUAACAAACCUCUGGUUUCCCAUGUACGUUCUUAAUAAACUUCAACGAUCGUGGACUAACAUGAGAAUUUAUCUGAUCUAGUACAAAAACCAAAUCAUUCAAGCUAUAACAUAAAAUCUUUGCCACCUAAAUAUAAAACUAACAGAUAAAAAAAGAUGAAAAGAAAGAAUGUCCAGCUAAACAACAGAAAAAAAAAAUGAUCAAAGCUACGUACAUCUGGCAAUGGUAGUCCGAACCAAAGCACGAGCCAGCAGAGCUCUUUUUCUGAGCUCCUCGUCGCGCAUUUCGAAAACUAUUUCUUUCUCGCAUGGGGAUAGAAUUUCGCGUACUGAUUUAAUAAUGAUUGGGAUUGCACUUCGCUGGGUAUUAUAUACCAUAGAUGAGCCUCCCUGAACAACAAUCAUUUUAACAGGAUCAAAAAUUUUCAAGAUUCUAUCCAAUCUCGUACGACAUUAAUUUUGAAACAACAUCGAAAAAAAAUUAAUAAAAAGAGAGUUGAUGGAUCGUGCAUUGGAGAUGGGAGUUGAAUUCGAGGCAAAUUCGCAGAAGAAUUGAACAAUUGUUUGCCCAAGCACUGAAAUUUCAUUCUGGAGGUCGAUUUACGACGUAGAGAUGAUGCGAGGAAGUAUUUAAGUGAGAACUAUUGAGCAAUUCAUGAACAGUUCCCAAUUCGAACCCUAAUUAGAUCACACAGUAAGCAGAUGUAGCAGAAAAGGUUUUAUGCUUGGACGUCGUCGUUUCCUAGGCAGUAAUUCACCAUAGGAACGCGCUUGUCGUCGGGAAACCAAGAACGUUCCGGCCUUGCGAUCUUCUCCCAGGAUGGGCCUCAUGACAUUGGGCCAAUGAGAGCUGUUUCUGAGAUCAACUUAGGACUGCUGUUUUUGGGCUUUUUCUAGGUUGGCGGUAGAGAUUUUCGAUAUUUCUGAGAGUUGUAGCCCUGCAAUGGAAAUGGCCUUGGGCCUCUUUUUAUGGACCGGAAAAAUGAAACGAAGAUAUGUUACCGCUACUAUUGUCUAAAAGAUUGCUUCGUUUGCACGAAAUUUGUCAGGACAAAAAGGAAACAAAAAAAAAAUUGUUACUCAGAGAAGAAAUCUACAAAUUACUCCAUUAUCUUUUGAUAACCAAAAAGCAAACGUCAAAACACAAGCCCUGAAUAACGUCUCCCCUGUUGAGAAACAUCAAGUUUGCCAGAAUAUCCCAUUUUUAUACAUGAAUUUUAUCAGCAAAUAGAAUACAAGAGAUGAGGAGGGAGAAGAUGCAAACUCAAAGUUGAUCACUCACUAUACUUGCACUGGAAACAAUAAUGGAGAAAAUAAGUUACAUAACCAGCUGAUUUUCUCAAAGCCUGAACCUAAUGGGAGUACACAGAUUCAUUACAUGAACUGGAAAAGUUCGUUAGCGAUAAGCAUUGAGGCAUAGAAGUUCCAGCAUGUCAGCAUGCGCUGCUGAAGAGCAGCUGCAUUUCCAGAGAGACAAAGUACAAGACUCUACCAAGAAACAAAUACAACAUCCCACGGAACCUAAGCAACAACCCCAAAUCAAAGUGAAAAUAAAGAUGACUCUGUCCUUCGAGUCUAAAAGCACUUCCUUGCCUCUCGAUCUCCCCAUUGACACAAAUAACUGAAGUUCACCGCCAGGCUUCCACCCGUUCUGUUUGUGAAUUUAUGCGGCUAAUGAUACUAACCUCCUUGUUCUUUUCUGCAUUCCUAGUUGUUUGAAUGACUGGCUGCUCCAAGAGCUUUUUCGCUGUCCUCUUUAGGCCAGAAUUACUUGACUGCCCAGUUUUUGUCCUCCUGCUUUUUGAUUGAUAUCUUCCACUUGCAACUUUAUUGUUAUUUCCUUUGAUUCCAUCCUUUGAUGCUGCAGCAUUAUUUAGAAUUUCGCCAGGGAAAUAUUUGACAACGUUUUCCUUUUCACCAGGAGGGUCAUUCUCAGUAGAACUUACAAAGCAUCUGGUGCAUUGGAGACAUUCGAGUCAUCCUGAUAAGAAUGCUCUGUGGUAUUUGAAAGUGGCUCUUUGGCUACUAACAGUUGGUCCUCUUGGGUCUCUUCAAUUUCUUCCCAAAUGAUUGAUUGUGAUGCACCAUGAUGUCCAUUUUCGUCAGAGGGCUCCAACUCAGGUGCAUGAACAUAUUCUAGGAUAGCGUCUUCUCUUUCCUUUAAGGUUUUGACUAUUAGAGUCUUCAGAAAAUUCAUUACUUGCACAGCAUACAUCAAUGCGGUCAAAGGAUCUGCCAUCUGUAACUAGUAGAAUUAGUACUGAAAAGGAAAUCCAGAUGAUGAUUUCUUUUAGUUUUUUCUAUAAUCAUUUUUCCUUGAUAGGUGAAAGCAUGACAUAGAUGUGAUUUUAGCAAGGACUAGCUAGAAUUAGGUGCUCACCUGAGUCAUAUUUGGUGCAAAAACCAUAGCAAUAUUGCGUGCGUUCAUUUUGUUUAGAUGUUCCAGUUGAGCAACGUCGGCCAUCAAAUUUAUGGCCCAGUCCAAUAGCUGCUUCAGUAGAUGGAAGAGCCCUCACCAGCUGUGAACAUUCUUCUUCCGAUUGUGCCUGCAUGACCUGCUCUGGCGGGAGAGAAUCCAACAACCCAGUCGGAAGUUCUCUGAACCAAGCCUACAGCAUUGGCACUUCAGAUUAAAACAGAAUAGUUAUCAGAAAAGCAAAAAAUUGCAGUAUUAUCUCCAGCCAAUUCCAGGAGGCACCAGAACCUAAAAUUAUUGCUAGAUAAUUUCAGCUAAAGCUGAAAUAGGGAGCUUUCAAAGUCUGUAUAAUUUAGUGUACAUAAAAGGAGCCGAACCAAUUGGUCAGGAAAAAUAGAAUACACUAGACAGCAACAUUGUUCCAGCUCAUCACUAAUAGUUUGAAGAAGGUUAGUUACUUUUGGUCUAUCAGUUGAAAGAAAAACUAUAUAAUUAUAGACAACGGUAAACAGCCACUUGAAAGAAAAUAAAAAAAAAGGAUUCCAAUACUUGUUUGUUCAUCAUGAUGUGAUGCACUAGUGGUCAUACCGAAUGCUAUAAGAGGUACUCUUUCAUUACCAUGGAUACGGGUUAUUUGGUAGAGUUGAGAGCCUUGGUUGCAAUUCUGGUCUGUAUCAAGCCUAAGGUGGUAAAUUAGGUAAAGAAAAGGUAUUUCUGCAUUCAUGUUGCAGAGCAGUACCUUGAUUAGACCCGCUAAACAAUGUAUGUCAACAUUCUCCGGCACUACUCCACUGUUCAAUUGUUCCCUAACAUCCUCUUCUUGGCCAUUCUCAGCAUUAAUCCUGAAGAUUCCUUCUGCCUGCAAAAAGUUGAAUUUUGCUGUAAUUGGAAAGACCUCCCACUCCAACCAUAAAAUAACAGAAAACAGCAAAAAAUGGCUUUGAAGUGUCUAAUCAAAUAUGUACCUGCAGUCCACCAUGGGCAUAAAGCCGUCUUUGCAUCAUCAGAAGUAUAGUAGGCACGCUAUUCCCUCUAGAGUCAAAAGAAAGCUGCAUAGACUCAGUUGAAACCCCGAAAACUCUCGUGCUGUGGAAGCAUAAUACUGAGAAUCAGUACCACAAUGUAUACCUUGGUGCUACAAGAACCUCAUCUUCUAUUGAACCAUUCUGAUACAAUAUUUGAAUAAUCAUCUAAAAUUGUCACAGAGGAAAUAUGGAUAGCAUGAUAAUGGUAAAUCCUCACUGAUCACAUGAAGGCUUUCCAGUCUUCAGGUACCAUACACAAGGGAUCAUAAAGCUAAACCGUAACCAAAAGUCCUUCAAAUGGGUGUUUCAGGCACAAUUGUGUAAUAGUUUUAUUUUUAUCUUUUCCUGUGUUACCCAUGUAAUACUAUCUUUCUUUGAACCUGUACUAGCUAAUAAGUCAUCCUGACGAUAAAAGGACCAGGGAAUGGAGAUCAGUUCAUAAAGCAGCAUCAUGAAGGAGGCAUAUUAAGGCCACAAUUUUCAUGAUAGAUGAUGAUAAUGAAUUUAUGAGGGCUGAUACUAUAGCCAAAACUUGAAAUCUAGUGGUCCUAAACAACUUCAUUCGAACCCAACAGUCAUCUUUGAAGGGACCGUGUUUGCUCCAGAAAAUUAGCAUACUUAAGCUACUGAAGUCAGAACUGUUAAGUGACAAGUUCAUCAUGAAAAUUCAGAUUCCCGAAACUUGCUUUUACUUAACUCUGAGAAGACAGAACAAUAACUACAUUAAACAAUUACGAUAAAAUUUUCUUCCUGCACCCUUUUCCAACAAAGUAUACAAACAACACUAAAGCAAAUUGAGAAUGCUUCAUCUUUCUAUAGUUCAGAAGUCAACUUAGAAAAACUUUCCAAGUAUGAAGUUCGUGAUCUCAUCAACAUGGGCAAAGUUUUUAAAGUCCCUAAAUGAUUCCAGUUGAUUGAACAAAAACUUUUUUCAUGUCAUACACUCAGAGUUCAAGGUUUUCUUUCCCUAAUGAUAUGAUCUCGGCAAUCAAUUACAAUGGCCUUUUACAAUCACUAACAGAGAAUGAAUUAAUGCCCAAAAAAAUGUUCUUUUUGCUCCUGAAAAGGGGAAAAAAAACUGAAAUGGAAAAGACCUGGCACUAGGAGGCCUCCUGGGAACCUCAGGUUCAAACUCAACCGGAAGACCAAGAAAACCAUUGAAGCGAUCAAAGGUAACAUGAGCAACAUGUCUCACAUUUGUAGGCCAGCUAAUCUCCAUGGCAGAAGAGGAAGAUAGCCGUUCUUCAACUCCACCACCCUCUUCGCUCCUACAAGCCACCAAAGAUUUCCUAAACACGGUAACUAACACGGCCAAUAGAGACAGCUGAUCUCCUUCUUCUCUCUCCCUCUUUUUCCUCUCUUUUCUGAACUCAACGCUCCUACUACUCGCACCACCAAUACCAACUUCCUCCCUUUCCUCUUCUUCCUCUUCUCCUUCUUGUAUUUCUUCUGUAUCUCCCCUGUAUACUGCUACAGGAGAAGAAAUGAUAGGACUGUUGUUAAUAAGGGUGGUGUCAUUUUUAAGAUGCGUAUGUUGGUCUAAGCCAUCAUUAUCUGUAGGUGGUGAUGAUACAAACGUAAUGGUGCUUGAAGAUGAAGGCAAAUGUUGUGGUGGGGAUUGAAGUAUUUCUGUCAUUUUUCCGUGUGUUUGAAUUAGAGACAAAAAGACCGGAUUUUUAUUGGGAUUUUUUAUGGAGGGAAAACAAUGAAUGAAAGGAUUCGGUUGGGUGGUUUUAUCUUUUCAAUGGAUUGUUUAUGAUAGUUUGGUAGAAUCAGUAGAUUACAAAGAUGAAGAGGAAAAGCCAAGGAUGGGAGAAAGCUUGUGAGACUUUCUGUAGAGUUGGAUUGAAGUAAAGGUUUUGGAAGGUGAGACUUAAACAUCAUGAUUUACUUCUCUUUCCCAUGCUUUUGUGUGCAUAUAAUGCAACUUUGUGCAUGUACUAGUAGUUAUUUUUCUGUCUAAAGAAACAAACAAUGAGGAGUUUCAGAGAGAAGUGGGCAGGAGCUGUGUCAAUGAGACAGGAGAAAAGUUUCAGAGAGAAGUGGGCAGACUGUAGAGGAAGAAGAGUGCACAGUGCUUUCUUUUCCAGCUAUAGUUUGGGAGUUGGAAUCCACACUAUUCCUAUCUUAUAAGCAAACUAAACCAGCAAGGCUAAUUAGGCUCCCUAGAAACUGGAAAGAAUGGAGCUUCUCUGUACUUGAUUUUGUUAACAAUAUAAUUACAUCAUUUGAUGAGCACUACUAGUUAAUGGGAGGGUCCCAGUAAAUAAUCAAAAUUCUGCAGGAAUUUUGGUUGAUGAGAUUAUGACAUUAGGUUGUGUGCCCAUGGGAUGUACGCACCUUAAUCAAGAAUCUUAAAGACACUCCUAUUACUUCUGCAUUUCUAGGUAGAAUUUUUGAAGAGCUCGUUUAAUAAUUUUAUGGAAUGGCAAUAAGUCUUCGUUUAGCUUUGGUUGACCUUUCAAGAAGCCAGUUGUGACAAGGUACAGAUCCAAGGACGAGAGCAUGGGAAUGUUACAGGGUGGAAGACUAGACUGUGUUUCAUAAAAUUGAAAUAUGAAAUUUGAAUUUAUUAAUUUAUUAAAUUGUUAAGUAUUGAAUGUAGUAUAACUAAUUAACAUUGAAUACAGUCUAGAUAUUUGGAUAAUUAUAGACAGUUGAAUAUUGAAUUUAUAUAUUUAUAAUUUUGAUCUAUUAAUUAAUGGUGCUGUUAAAAUAUUAUAUUUUAUUAGUAAUAUCUAUGAUUUAAUUUCAAUGAGUAUAAGAUAUCACCACAAGCAUUUAUUAAUUAAUUAAAAUGUUCUAAUUUUAUUAUCAAACACAUAUAUUAUGUUAAGAUAUAAAUUGAUUAUUAAAUUUAAAUACAGAAUUGAUCUAAAAUAAAAAUCAGUUCUGGGCAUAUAAAUUCAGAGGCUGAAAAGUUGACCCCAAAGCUAGUCCUAGGUUGCCCAAGUCCAUUAAUUCGGAGAGGAGGAUUUCACAAGUGAAUUGACUCACAUCUUCCAAUUUUUCCGGGUGUAAAUUAAAGCAGCCUACGUGUGUUGGUCCAUGUACAUAAACAUUCACAUUGGAAGAAAGGCUAGUUUUGUUUUUAAGUGGCAAACCGGAGGUCUUAAUAAUUGCCAUUGGUUGGGCGUGUCAAAUCAUGAAAAAGCGCGUCGAACGCUCUAUGAAUUCGUGCGCUUUCGUCCCGUAGUUUUGUAAGACGGUGGUUUGCUGCUCAUUGUAACCGCUGACGGCUGCGAUGUUGUCUUAAUUUGAGUUCUCCGUAUUCAACGUGUUUAUGCUAUCGCGCAAGCCAUAUAUGUGCAAGUUCUACCCCCUCGGAUCCCACAGUGGAAAUAAUUAUUUCCAUGCAGCAAAGCGGAAAAGGCCCAGCCAGGUAUGAAAAGGAAAAUUCGAUUGAAGAAACCGAUUGAUUUACACGGUUCAAAAUUAUUCUCUUCUGGAUAAGAUACAAGUAGCCCAGCAGCCCGUUACAGAUUCACCUGCUAGCUUUCUUCUCUUUUGCUCUUGCCUGUUGCCCUUCAGCUGUAGUCUCUUAACUGGGAGGAGUAGACGAAUAUUUCAAUGUGCAAGCGGAUAAAUUUAAUGUGUCGUCUUCAUCCCAUUUAGUCACUUGAUUGAUAAAACGGUCUGAUUUUGCAGUAGUGUACCACUACUUGCAAGUUUUUCAGUUCUGUUUUUGUUCUUGUCUGGACAACAACUGUUAUUAGUUAUUACGAAAGGACCACUGAAACCUAGAGAAUAACGGGGAACUUAAUUGGAAACUGUUGAGCAAUUUUAGCUAGUAGUAGGUGGUAAAAAGUAACUCCCGAAGACCCAUCUCAACCAUCAUAUAUUCCGAAGCCACUGGUUAAGAAGGAUCUAAAUACGGGAGGGAGAGGGAGGUACCUUUUAUUAGUUUUUUGACAAAGUAUAUAUGGCAUUGUUUGGCAAGCAACUUUUUGGCCAAAUUUGUCCGUUAUAAAUUUUUUAAUAACUUUAACUACACCAACAUCAAAAAACUUCUCAAAGUUUUUAAACUAUACACUUCAAAAUAUUCAAAAUUUACACGCUUUAAAAUUUUUUCUACAACUUCUACAGUAAAAUUUUUAGACAGACGACCAAAAAAACUUACUUGCCAAAUGGGACCUAAUUUAGGAGGAAAACGUCUAAAUAGAGGAGUUAAUUGUUAUGAUUGUAUAUAUUCAUAUGGCAAGUUAAAUGUAAUAUAAAACUAAGCAGCACCUUUUAGCAAAAUCUAUAAUAGUUACAUACAAAAAGAGAUGCUAGCGCUUAAUUUCCGGUGGAAAAAAAAAAAGGAAAAGAAAGUCUGCUUAUUGCUCAUGCAUAAGAUUUCUAUCGCACAAUCAAGGGCAUAAUCAUUUUUGGAUGCCUUUUUAGGCUCGCAAACGCAAGGAAAGAGUGGUGUCUAAUUAUGUCUGGGAAGACUGAAAGGGCUCGUGGUAAAACAUAAUAGCCCCAAUUUGCGGGCAGGUGGGGUGGCCAUGCUGUUCUUUGCUCCCACACAUGUUCAUAUUCCUCCAUCUACAAUAAUCAUAGAACACGAGGAUCACAGAGUACAGGACAGGCAGAAACUGUAUAAUGAGUGGUUAAACGGUUCUGCAUCUAAUAUACGGUUCUCGGACCAAGACGACAAGAAUGAACCCAUGUUUGUUUGGCGUUUCGAUUCUGGUUUUCCACCAAACACGUGCUCCCUUCCCAUCUGCGAAAAAUUCUGCAAAACAUCUUGAAUUCUACUAUAUAUGAACAUGUUAUUCUGUCACUUUCUUUAAAAAAAAAUUUUAACCUCUUAAAAUAAUCGGCAGUAGGAAAUGUAAAAGAGCGUUACGCUUACACAGCAACUGUGUCAAAUGAAUAACAAUGAAAGUCAUAAAACAAACAUGAGGCUUUAACUUUUAGGAUUAAUCUUUUCUACACUGAUAAUGAUGAUGGUGUAUAUACUGUCAGCGUUAGAUGAAUGACAAUUAUGUAAAAUUUGAAUUUGAAAUUCAACUUUUGCAUGCACGUCAUAAAUCAAAUGGUGAUAAUGUAUACACUGUCAGCGUAUAUAAGAUUUACUGUUAACUUUAAGGCAUUGCAUUGUGAACACUAGAACAUACAAAUAUUGAACUUAGAAAAGAGACAGCAAAGCCUACGAAAAAGGGAUUCAAGCAUGGAUUAUAGUCCUUGGAUGUCUGAUAUGCGUUAAAAAUCCAACAUAGGUAACAAAGAAACUUGCUUUGCUUGUUUUGGAACUAUCCCCUUCUUUUCCUCGUGUAUCUCCUCUAAAACUAAAACGAAACAAAAAGACGUAGUAGUAGUAGUAGUAGUAGUACCAUAUAUAUUCCAUGUCCAAUUGUCCAUUCCUCGAGGGAGGGGUGGGGCAGGGAGUUGGUUGUGGCGUAGAUUUGGGAGUAGGUUAUGGCUUUGUAUGAACUCAUCAAUAAACUUUCCUUGUGUCCAUUAAGGCCAUGACGAAUAAACCACCAACAAUAAUCAAGAAGUUAUGGCUUUUGAACCUCUUAAUUAAUGUGCUGUGGCGACCUGGCACUGCAUAGGACCACAAGCAACACAAUUUACUGCCCACUGCUUGCCGGAAAAAUGGACCAACCCUACAUACAUCUAGAGAUCAAAGCAAGUUCUUUUGCCCAUUUUUCCAAGCAUUAAACCAAGAAAAAGUAAAAGGGCAUUAGUUUUUGUAGUAGUAAAGAUUUGCAUCGAUAAUGUGCUCUUUCUUUAGCAGUAGUAUUAAUGGGAGAUUUCGGGAUUUUCCUUGGACAGCUCAAAGCAACAGCGACAAAAGCAAAAGUGAAAAAAGGUCGCAGCCCAGAUUUGUACGAAAGCCAGACCGGGGGAGGGAGAGCGUGCCGUAGUGAAAAGCUUUCUAAGGCAGCUGCCCGUUGUAUUGUGUGACUUGUGAGUCGUCACUCUUCCAAUUCCAUAGAUGAUAGAACAGAACCUCCCCACUGUUUCAAAUUUGAACUUAAAAUUGCGGGAUACUCACUUUGUCAUCGGACAUACGGACGUAAGAGUUGCUAGACUUGAAAACAAAGCAAAAAUUAUUCAAGUCAAGUGGUAACUUUACCAACACCUUUCAUUCAUUUAUUUAUUUUUGGUCCCUUCCAAAGAGAAAGGUAUUACUUGCUUGCCAUGACAGACAUCUGAUUUGCGCAUCUAGUUGACAUGCGUUCACUUCACUAUUCAUAGUUCAGUAUUAGUAGUUCGUUGAUAAUUAUAGAUGAUAGGAUUGUAUUUGACAUAUGCAUUCGACAUUUUCUACGUAAUGGCAUUUAUAAUCCCCCUUUGAGAUGGAAGUUGCAGAACCAAAAUGUUUAAAUUCGACCUGACAAUUUCGGAGAACCCAUACCGUGGGUGUGUGGCUGUGGAUUGGCUGAUGUAUUCUGAAGGAUUCUUCUUUUGACGGUGGCACCGUGCUGCUUGUGAACUUAGGUGAACGAUUCGUUUUUGUGUUUGAUGGUGUAUACUUUCGACUGAUAAAAUGCAUUUCUAUCUUUAUCAUAGAUAGUUCAAACUUCAUUAUUGAUUUUUUAAAUAGAAAAGCUGGAGCACCACUUUGAGCAUCCAGUAUCAGUGUGAUUCUCAAACAAAAUUCACUUCCGAAAUGAUGUUUAUCAACCACCUUAGAGGUAAUUCUGUUGCCCAGAAGGAUUUUUUUUUUCCUUUUCCAACAAAGUAACGCAAUUGGAAACCAGGAAAACCUGCUAGGUCGAGAAGACUACGGCACGCCUGUAAAAUCCAGCAAAAAGAGUUGCUCAAACAUGUAAUAAUUCAAAUCAGGUCCGCAUCUAGAAUCAUACGCUUCCAAUCCUGAAUGGAAACACCCGUUGGGCUUUCUUUGGUCGAAUGAUGAACAGGUCAGUUUCCAAGAUUUUCAAUUUUCAUUUUGCCCUAGACACAAAGCUAAAAACAGAAGCUCGGAUUUAAUCCACUGUGACUAAACUAUAGUGCAUCAAUAAAUGAACAGAAAUUCUACGGCAAGAGCAUAACAGAGAGAGAAAUGGCCAUGGGAAGAUCACAAAAGGCUUUGAAAUGUAACGAGUGUGUUUGGAUUGUAAAUUAUUUGAGAUAAUUUUGUGAAAAAAUACUGUAGCACUUUUUUGAUAUGAUGUAUGUGAGAUAAAGAGGUGAUUGAAAAAUGUAUUGAUGAUGCAAGCAAGUCAGUGUGUGUAAAUAAUGUGUAAUUUUUUACAAAUAACAAAAAAUGACUGACGAAGAGGAAUCUCCCUAAUUCAACAGUUCAAGCACCAGAACAACUUUUCUAAGAAGAAUAUCGACUUGCUUUUUCUCCACCUGCUGACAUCAAAGACCUCAAUACUGGAAAUAUAUAGUUUUAGACGGAAGAAAUGCUUUCCAAGAUAGACGUCGUCACAGCUAAUCAUAUCAGGAGUCAUAACUCACAACACAACAAACCAAGUAACCCAAGAAUUUUACACCAAAAACUACAUAAUAUGCCACAGGCCUCCAUUUGCUUAGUAAAGUAUUAAAAAGUUACAUGCUAGUAUCACUUAACCUCCACAAUAACAUCGGAUUGCAUGAUAAGAUAAAACCAAUGCCUGAGAAAUGUACAAUCACUGUGCUCUGGCAACUGGUUCGAGUGCUUCAACAGUGACUACACUAUUUCCUCUGAUAACCUACAAGAAGACAACAUGCAAAGAGGGAUGAAUAAGAAAAGCCACAAAGUAGGAGCACAAGCAAUAAUUGAAGCAUAAAUUUAAAAAAAUCCAAGAAAAUAUACUUACAACCAUCCCUAUCUUAAUCUUAUCAUUGCCAUUCACUUCCACUGUGUCAUCAACCACCAGGUUCAUGAACUGAUCAAAACCCCGAAGUGUUCCAACCACCAUGCGGUUGGCAUUCAACUUGACUGCAAAAAAAGAUUAUCACAAUAAAUUUCACACCAAACUUCAAAACUUUCAAGUAGGAUGGAAAUAUUGAACUACUCAAAAAAUGAGAAUUAUAAAAUUCUGGUUGAAUCUUACUGAGGCAGUGUAUAUGGGGAAGGCCCCAAACAUUUUAUAGUUUGCACAGAAGUGACAAGCAAAGUUUGUACAGAACACAAAUAGCUUGCACAACACUUGAAAUCUUUUGCUAGAAAUUUUUGUACUUGAAAAGUACCGCCAAACGCAUUUGCAGGGCAACUAAAUUAGGUUAGCACAUCACAGAAACAAAGAAAAGUGGUAGACUCAAUGAUGAUUCACUCAGAAAUAUCAUAGCAUAGAUCCAUUUUACCAAGCAGGUCAAAUUGAUGCAAUAAUACACCUACCCAAGGCAUAAUCCAUAGACUUAUUAGGUUUAAAAUCUACAGGUAGAGCCUCCUCAUGGCAGAAUAAGUAGUUGUCUCCCUUCAAAACUUACUCAACUUGGAUAUUGCAUGCUUGAUUAAAGGACUGAUACCAGAUUUUACCCUCCUCACCAACUAGGAAAGUGAAAAUCUACUCGUUGGCUUCUCAAUAAUAAAUGGGGCAAUUCAGUGAAAAAAUAUGCAUCUUCAGAAACUAUGCGUGUCCUGAACUGCAUCAUGUUGCUGUCUUCAAAUGUAAACCUACCAAAACAUCUACCAAAGGAUCUCAAAAAACGAUUUCACUAGAUGCCCUCACAAAAAAUUUGAACCAUUAAGUGAAUAAUAAGUUAUAAAAUCAAGUCCCAUCUCAUCAAGCCUCAAUGUGAGACACAUUCUCCAUACCUAUCCCAUAUUACUGAAAAUCGCACAAUGGGUAUCUGGUUGAAUGUUCCAAAAGAAAACUCUUACACCAGAUAAAACAGUUGUUCAUCAAUUUAAACGAACAACUGGAUCAUAUUCCAUUAUCCCAGUAUUGCAAGUCAAAGUCAUUCAAUACAAAAAUAAAAUUACUUAAAGCAUUAUCAGAAACGAACAUGAAUUAGCCAACUAAUCUGUAGUCACACAACAAAAAGUUGCAAAGAGCAAAUGUGUUAUCGAAACAACUGAUAGGCAGAAACUCAAAAAAUCCGUUGGCCAUUUGGUCAACUAUUGAAUUUAAAGCAUUCCAGGAACUUCAACAUAUACAUUCUACAGAAACCAUAUCAAUCCAUGUAAUUUCACAACAGUUGAUACUUAUCAUGCCAAAAAUUAUGCUUAGGCUUCAAGUUGACAUCCAAGCUCAAAAGUUAUCUUUGAUCCUAUUUUUUAAGGUCAAAUUCGGGCAUCAUACUUGCGCUUUUUAGCCAUUAACAGGAGGAACAGCAUAACUAAGAAAGUUAUCAUGUAUUUUAUAAUAGUCCUCUAAGGUUCAGCGCAAAACUGGAUGAAUUCCUAAAAAACUUUAAGCUUCUGAUUUUUAACUUUCUAAAUUUAGCGAUAUAUGGCCCAGGACAAACAAAUAUACGAGGAAAAAAGAGCAAAACAUCGUAGCUGAGAACAUACUCUGGAGUUUUUUGUCCAUGUACCUGCAAUAGAAACAAACAGACAAGCAAUUUAAUUUAACGGCAUAACGUGUAAAAUCAAAAUUAAUGCUUAAAUUAAAAAUCAAGAUGACAAGGAAAAGAGCAUAUGGAAGUAAGAGAAUUACUUCUUCAGAUCCGGAGGUUGGCCCGAUCGACUCAUGGUGAAAACCCUACAACACACACAGAGAGCGAGAGUGUGUGUGUGUGUUUGUGUGAGAGAGAGAGAGACUCGCGAAGCACCAGUGAGGGACGACAAAAUAGGGAGCGAGAAGCAGCUCUAACAGGGUUUACCAGUGGUCAAAACCCUACCGUAUGUGCUCUCGGAAAUCGGAAGAGAGGCUGACCUCGGGUUUAUGCGACCCACGAUCCACCGCCUCCAGGAAAUUAACCCAAAUUUGAUGGGCUGGAUGGCUUCUUGAUCUUGGAUCUUUUACUGUUAGAGAUGGCCCAACAGUUAUUGUUCUGUUUGCGGCGGAAACGGUUAACAACUGAUGUGGCUUCCUAGACGAAUAAUUUUGAUGAAGUACAUACGUAUUUCCUUUUUUUUUCCUCCUAGACUUUUAGGGAUACAUCUAGUAACUGAGUAGUUACUAGCGUUUUGACAACCAGACCGGCUGGUUUAAUGGGUCGAAUCGCAACCUGGUCAUAUCUCCAGUCCGGUUUAAUCGUUCACCCAAAAAGUUUAAUUGAAUCAAUUAAAUCCAAUAAAAAAUCUGUUGAAUUAAUAAAAAUCGGUAAAAUUAGAAAGUUCAACCGGAGUUACUAACUUUUUAUUUUCUAGAAUAAAUAUUUCAACGGUAUGCAUAUUUUUUAAUAUUAAAAUAAUUAAACAAGAUUAAAACUUUGAAUCCGAGUUGAACCAACCGAAUCAGAGACUUUUUUGAUUCAUUCUCCGAUUUGGGUUUAAAAACAUUGGUAGUUACUACUUUAUCAUGGCAACCGAUGUUGUUUUCUUUUUUUUUGUUUAUUUUUUUUGGAAAGUGGUGAUCUAAUCUCUCAAAAAAUGUGUUUUCAUUUUUUUUAUUGCUUGGUUGUAUGUUUUUUAAUUUCUUUCGCUCCCAGUUUUAUUGUGAUUUUAGUAGCAUCACAAAUAUUUGUAACUUUAAAACUGCCAGACAUAUAUAACAUUCUCUCAAUCUCAUGUUAGUUACUUUUGCUUCCCUUGGAAUUUUAAAAAUGCCCCAGAAUUAGGGUAAAAAUCCCUAAAACAUAGGAUGACAAUAGAUUUUGGAAAACUAAAGGAUAAAGAGUAGUAGGUAACUCUCAAAACGCAUCCGUACGUAACAUCCCUAUUUUUCUCCUAUAAAUUUAAGUUUUUAUUUUCAUUUGGAUAUAGUGCACUUAAAUCACAAGCUAAAAAUUGUCAACUCGUUGCAUUUUAACCAUGGACUGAGGAUGACUUUACUGGCACUGUCAGGGGUCUCAAUAUAAACUAAACUUCGACACGACUUGUUUGCCAAGUGGUUAACCAAUGCUGACAUGCCUCUUGCAAGUAGCGCAACUGGUUGGGUUUUGCUUUUGAAGUCAACCGAGUUCCUUUUCACGGCUUGACGCUCUUGUCAUGGAAUCGAGUCAUGUUGAAACCUUCAAUUCCGGUCGUAUUGAUAUUUCCACAAAGAUGAGAAAAGUCUCCAAAACCAGGCCUCGUGAAGAAAUGAGGAAAAAUUUAUUUGUACUCCUCUUUUUUAUUAUUUGCACUUUUAUUACCAUUUUUUAUUUGUUAGAUAUAAGAUGCAACAAAUGAUGUCAUGAUAGUGCCAAUAAUAAAAUAUGAAACGCAAAUAAUAUUUUUCAAUCAAAAAAAAAAAUUUCCAGGGCAGAAUCAGAUACCUCAAUAAGCUUCGUAUUAUUGUCUGAUCCUAAGGCGCAGCUCGCAUAAUCUACUGUUUCUAUCAGGCAAUAGUAGCUUCUGAGUUGUGGAACUCUUCAUUUUCCAUGAGCUUCCCCUUAGGAUAACCACGAAGAAUCAGGAAAAGAACCCAAUAAAAACAGCAGCCUCGCCAUUCAGCUUGUUUUGAAGUUUAUCCUGACGUAAAGAAUGCCUAGUCCCAUAUUAGUUUUUAUUUAUCUUCCACUCCUUGCCCUGUUUCGGUCAGUGCAUGCAGGCAAGUUUUUUUUUUGGCGUAAAGACUGAAGGCAGGGAAAAGAAUAAAAGAUCCAUCAAGUUCGAACUUGAGCAAAGCGGCCGGCACGUAGAGCCAAGGACUGCAGCUGGCAAUGGAUUUAUAAGAUCUCCCCAACCAAAACUUCCUACACAGUCGUCCGUGGAUCGGGAACAAUUUUUGUAUGAUUUGAUUUGUUGCCGCCACGGAGAUUGCGUAAUCCAAUCGUUGAUUGGAAAUAGCCACGUCAACUGUUCACACAAAGUCAACCGAUGCUUAUCUACAUCGAAGCCUAUGUCAACCCUCCGGCUUCAUCGAAGCAUAUCCUUUGUGCCAAUCCCCUCUCGCCGUCAAGACUGAAUUGCAGGCAAUGCCGUCCAAGAAUUCUACGUCUCUAGUUCUUCUCUUGAAAAGAUUGGUUAAAAGAUUUUCUUAUCGGGGUUAUUCGGUAAAGGAUAUCGGCUUCAUUCCGUCCACGUAUCAUGAAUCAAUGGGCCUCCACUCUUUUCAAGUAGGUGAUUUAUUAUCGAACCAAGGGCACGUUUGGGGUUGACUAAUACUCCUAGCACUUACAUUACAUGAGGCCGAAAGCCGGUAAUGUACUGCAGAAGCUGCAGAGUAUUAUACUGCUUGCUUCGUUCUAAAUCUACUAAUGAACUGAUUCAAACCCAAAUGUUAAGGUGAGAUCUCGCCACGCAUAUCUAAGAAAUUUCAAAUCUAACAACCAAAUUCGAAAAAACAUGGAUCUAAUACAAUAAAUAGACUAACUACAAAAACUCUUGUUUGAAAUACUUAAGAGAAGGUGAAACUCUUAUUAGAAAUCUCAAAAAAAAAAGAGAAAUUCUCGCUAAAAAAUCUAUGGAACAGUAAUUGUAUCUGCGGAUGGAUAAUUGUUUGGUUACUUUCUGAUCUUUGAAUGCAUUAAAGUAGUUGUAACUGCGACUCGUCAUGGAGCAUCAAUUAUUGGGCAAAACACCACUAAUGAACAUUUGGUGCAUCAUCUUCGUCUCAACUCUCCUAACCCCGUUAAAAAUAUUUAUUCAAUUCAAAAGCGAAAAAUUAAACCGAUUGACAAGUGGUACGGCCCUUUUUUUUUUCGAAAAAAAAAGGGCAUUGGUAUGGCCCAUUUUAGGGGAUCAAAUCGGCGGAAUAUUAAGGUCCCGCAAGGACGAGUGAAGGUACCCGCAAGGACGAUUCCAAAAGGAAUGACAAAAGCAAGCCUCCCCCAAUCAUAGGCUCUAAUUGAUUCGAUACCCUUUUUUAGCAGUCCAAAGACUCUUGAACACCCUCACCGUGAGUUGUGAGUUUGAGUUGGGGAGGCAUCUGUAUUGGCCCCGAUAACGAAGUCGCACCUUAUUACAUAAACCUUUUUCACCACCACCCCUUUCUACAAUGCAAGCUUCUCCUCAAGAAAAUUCUCUUCCUUUAGCAUCAAUCUCACUGUCCAACCGCUCUUCUUCCUUCAACCCUAAUACACUUUCUAAGUUCAAAGCCAUGAUGUGGGGAAAGAAGAUUGGAUCGGUGAAGAAAUUAGCCAGAAGGGCCAAGUCAAUCAAGAAAGUUCAGCGUGAGCCAUCACAACAAGAGUAUUUGCUUAUGGGCAAUUGUGAAGCUGAAGAAUCAUCACCUUCGACAACACCAACAGGAACAUUUGCUUUGUAUGUAGGAGAAGCCCGACAAAGAUUCGUGGUACCAACCGGCCACCUCUCUCACCCUCUUUUAGGAUGUUGUUGGAGAAAGCAUCUGAUGAAUUUGGUUUCGAUCAGAGAAAUGGUCUGGUGGUACCAUGCAGCGUCACUGCAUUCCAAGGGGUGUUAAGUGCCGUCGAAUGCUGCAACGGCAAGUUUGAUUUUGGAGAUUUGGUGCAGGAGUUCAUAUAGAAUUGAUGUAGGUUGGGGCCUUUAGCUUGAAAAUACCGCAGUUUUUCUCUGUCCUUCCACUAGUGAAGUGAUCAAGCUAAUCGACUUAUCGAGGUAAAUUUGGGAACAAAUGUAGGAGAGCAUUGUAAUUAUCCAUUUUCUAAGUUCUACGAAUUUGACUAUGUUUGUAACUCUAUUCGAGUUGAGGUGAGAAACAAUUUGUUUGGAUAUUAAAUUUUUUCAAAUAAUAUUUCAUUUGUAUUAUAAAUAUAUUUUUUAAUUUAUUUUUUUAAUAUUUUUAAUCAUUUUUUUAUCUCACAUAUAUCCCAUCAAAAAAAUAUUACAUUAAUUAUUUCAAAUAAUACUCCAAUUACCUGCCGGCCGGCCCAUUAGUUAGAAACUUCAAAAUUGCUGUUCCGAUGGAGUGGCAGUUGGGGUAUUUAAUCUCCCUUUUUGGCUCUUUAAGUGAAUAGCGUGUGAACGUGAGAGGAUUAAGUUUAGGACUCUGUACUAUGGAUUGAAAGCAAAGUGGCUGGUCCCAUUCUAAUUGCUGAAAAUCUAUGCGUUUUGUCUCGUAAUGAACGUUUCCUAUGUGCCAAAAGCCAAGAGGACCCAUUCGGCCCGCCAGUUGCCAGAAUGAUUAGUCCGGAGCUUGGUCUUAGUGAGUAUAAUGACAGUGAUAUAUUAUUUCGUUGUUGUUGUUUCCGAAAACAAGAGCAAUUAAUUACCUUCGGAUGGGAUGGUACUUGUUGGUGCGUACAUGAUCAAAUGAAGUGAUUAAAUCAUCGUUUAGUGGAGGGCACGUUUCGCUAUCCUGGUGUUUCUUUCGUUUCUUUUGCCGGACAUUUUAUUCUACCAAUAAAAGCCAUUUGGAAAAAAAUCAGAGAUAGAAAGAGAGAGAGAUUCUAGAAUCUUGGAUUUGGAUUGCAUUUUUUCACGAUUUUUCAUGAAAAAUUACUGUAACGAUUUGAUGUAUGUGAGAAAAAAAGGUAAUAUGGAAAUGUGAUCACGAAAAACGACGUAAUUUUUCGACAGAAAAUGACAAUCCAAACAGGGUAAAUGGCAUAGGGAUGUGCGCUUGUGACUUUGGUAUAAUUAAAAAUCUAGCAGACUUAAUAUUUAUGGACCAAAUCAUUAAACCGAGUUUAUUGAUAAAAUGAUGAAAAUUUUGUGGACCUAUUUUAGGAAAAAAGAAUCAGAAAAAAUAGAAGCAUGUUGACCCACUUGUGACAUCAGCUACUCGUGUGCUGAUCAUCACAAAGUGGCCAAAUUUCUUUAUCUUAUUAAAAAGAAAGCGAAAUCAUUCCGUCUGCUUGUCCUGAAAAAAUUUUAAAAAGAAAUAUGCGGACACAUCGGCUUAUUACUCAGAAUAUCGUUGUAAAAAAGAAAAGUCGGACGUUUAUGGCUCUGACAAGGGUUGCUGCAAAUCUAUGGCUACCGGGCGGUGUUAGCCCGGCAACCAAAAAGGCAAAAAAUUUUUUUAAGCUUUGACACAGCCCGGCAGCAGAAAUUUUUUUUUUUUUUUUUUAAAAGUCCUUGGCUGCUGGCUGACAAGGCCCGGCAGCCAGGGACUUUAUAAAAAAAUCUGCACAAAACCUGCUAGAUCGAUUCUUAAAGGAAGGGGUUGAAAAUAUUCAAUUUCUACUUACUACUACUAGUAUUUGAUCCAUUGAUUUUAUCUCUCUAAUAUUUCAGCACCUUUCCAUAUAGUGAAUCUCUUCAUUCUUUAAUUAAUUCCUACUUUGCCUCUUACUAACUCACUUCUAUGCCCAAUUAAAGAUUCCACAGCUUGUGGUUUAAUUAUUCUCGUUGCACAUGAUGAUGAUAUCACUUGCAUGAAUUUCUUCCCACUCCUUUGUACCAUCUGGAAACUUUAGAAUUAAAAUAAUUUAGAUAUUUUCACACCUCAAGUACAAAAAGGAGAAACUAAAAAAAAAUUUGUUAAAAAAAGAAGAAAAGAAUCAACUUAUGUACACACCCUAAAAGAAAAGGAAAAAAAAGGAGAGAAAUCAACCAAUUUUUUUUCAUUUUUAACGUGACCACGUCUUUCUAUAUACAAUGUGUGGACAAUGGGUUUGAUGUUAAAAAAUGCCAUUAUUUUAAUUUGACCCUCUGUAUGAUAAAAUAAUAUACAAUCAUCUUAUAUUCCAUACUCUCAUAUUUACUUAACUGCUAUUACUAUACUCAUCCACCAUUGCAUAACUGUUAUUACCAUGCUUAUCCGCUAUUACUAUGUUCAUCCCAAAUCUUCCCAACUUCAAUAACCCAAAAAAAAGGAAAUCCUAGUGCUUUGCAAUUAAAUUUUUUUAAUUGCAAUUGAUACGUUAUUUUAAUUGCAAUUGAUCCGUUAAAAUUGGCAUAUUUAAUAAAUUCAAUACAUAAAUUGAUGUAAUUAGCACAACUUAAUUAACGAAAUUAGUGUUAUUUGUUUAAUGCAAUUUACUUUAUUACGCAAGUGAGUUGAUAAUUAGUUUAUGUUAUUUAGUAUAUGAUUAGUUUAAUUAGUUUAGUGAUUUAAUUAGUUGAACGAAUUAAUUUUAAGAGGUUCGAUUAAAUGAAUUUAGAUGUAUUUGACGAGGCAUAUAUUGAGUUUUGAUUAAGAUAGCCAUUUAGUCGGGGCAAUUUAAAUAUUUGAAAUACUAGUUGCAUGUAAUAAAUUAAAUACAUAAAAUUAAUGUAAUUAGCAUAGCUUAAUUUUGAAACUAGUGAUAUUAGUUUAAUGCAAUUCACUUUAUUAUGCAAGUCAGUUGAUAAUUAUGGUGGUGGUGAAAUAAAGUUGAUAAUUAGUUUAUGGUGGUGCUGAAAAAUCAAGACUGGCAAAUGAGAAUGCAAACUUGGCCAGGGAAAACCGGUGCCUCCACCAGCUAGUAGAGCAAUUCACUAUAUGGAAAGGUGCUGAAAUAUUAGUGAGAUAAAAUCAAUGGAUGAAAUACUAGUAGUAGUAAGUAGUAAUUGAAUAUUUUCAACCCUUUUCCCUUAAGAAUCGAUCUAGCAGGUUUUGUGCAAAUUUUUUUUAUAAAGUCCCUGGCUGCCGGGCCUUGUCAGCCCAGCAGCCAGGCACUUUAAAAAAAAAUUUCCGCUGCCGGGCUGUGUCAGAACUUAAAAAAAAAAAUUUACCUUUUUGGUUGCCGGGCUGACACAGCCCGGUAACCAUAAAUUUGCAGCAUCCCUUGUCAGAGCCAUAAACGUCCGACUUUUCUUUUUAUAACGAUAUUCUGAGUAAUUAGCCGGACACAUCUUACUUAUAAUAAGAUUAGGAGCUCACGGGUUGAAUUCUAUAAAUUCAAAUUGAUUUAUAUAAUUUUUAUUACAUUUAGUGUAAUAUUGUAGUGAAUUGGUAUAACUAUCAAUUUAAUUGUAUCAGUUGAUAGAUUUAAAUUUACUUUUACUAACUUUUAUAAAUUUACAUGAAAAAUUAUAAAAGUUACUCUAUAGAAUCGAUUCGAAUCGGACAGAAUCAACCUUGUGAAAGCUUUCUCAAAUCGGAGAUGUGACAGCAUCUACUCCUCUGCAGUCUCUCUUUCCAAUUUCCACAUUCCUCGUGCCUCCAAUUUUCACCCAUAUCAAUGACUUACCUAUUGGGUUCAACGUAUAAUUAUAGCAGCGUGUGCUGCUAACAUAAAAAAGUGCUGAAACUGAAUUCAUUCAGACAUUCAGAUGUUGUAGAUGUUUGAUAAAUAAAAAUUCACCUGCUGAACUAAUUAAGUGGUGUUGAAUUUGUAUGUAUUUUUUCAUCACAAGAAUCGUAACUGAAUGCUUAAUUUGAUAAGAAUCAAGAGAUUUAUUUCAACUACUUUAUCUUAUCUACCAAAUAUAUCUCUGUUUGUUAAUUACAUUCAAAAUCCUUAUCUAAUUAACAACCUAAUAUUCCCUAUUCAAAAUCCUUAUCUAAUUAAACAAAACAACCUAAUAUUCUCUAUUCAAAAUUUUUUUUUUAACAAUAGUAUUUUUUUUGCAGUAAUUUUCAUCCACAAAUUUAUAUUUUGAUAUAUAUUUUUUUUGUGCAGAUAAAUAUUAUUUAUGUGAUGCAGUUUAUCUACACACACGUGACUUUAUAACACCAUAUCAAAAUAUUAAAUAUUGGUUGUCUGAUUUUCGAAAUGCUUCUCGUCCAAGAUCAAAAGAAGAACGUUUUAACCAAGCACAUGCAAGAUUGAGAAAUGUAAUUGAACGUGCUUUUGGAGUAUUAAAAGUUCAUUUUCCCAUUCUCAAAACGAUGAAACCAUACCCUUUUCCCACACAAAAAAAACAUUGUCAUUGUAUGCAUUGCUCUUCACAAUCAUUGUCAUUUUCAUACUUAACAAUUUUAAGUUAAUUAAAUCAUAAGUUCUAUUUCCUUUUUGGAUUAAAAGAUAGAAUGGCAAAAUUGUACAAUUUAGCUUAUUAAGCAUUAAGUUAUGAAUAUUUAUCAAACAGUAUAAAUAGAUUCAGCAUUAAGAUUCAGAUAUUCAUAUAUCUCUUUUUAGUGCUUAAAAUUCAGCAAAUUAAUUAUUUCAGUAUUCAGAAUUCAGAUUCAGUGUUAUCAAACGGAGCCAUAACCUCAAUGCUUAUUCCAAAGAACAAGUUUGUGCAAUGAAAUCUGUCUCCACAUUCGACAAGCCCAUUGCGAGACAAACAUGAAUUACUAAUUAGCU
rnacentral:lncRNA from 1 species